AGCGAACGCUGGCGGCAUGCCUAACACAUGCAAGUCGAACGAGAUCCUUCGGGGUCUAGUGGCGCACGGGUGCGUAACGCGUGGGAAUCUGCCCUUAGGUUCGGAAUAACAGUUAGAAAUGACUGCUAAUACCGGAUGAUGACGUUAAGUCCAAAGAUUUAUCGCCUGAGGAUGAGCCCGCGUAGGAUUAGCUAGUUGGUGUGGUAAAGGCGCACCAAGGCGACGAUCCUUAGCUGGUCUGAGAGGAUGAUCAGCCACACUGGGACUGAGACACGGCCCAGACUCCUACGGGAGGCAGCAGUGGGGAAUAUUGGACAAUGGGCGCAAGCCUGAUCCAGCAAUGCCGCGUGAGUGAUGAAGGCCUUAGGGUUGUAAAGCUCUUUUACCCGGGAUGAUAAUGACAGUACCGGGAGAAUAAGCCCCGGCUAACUCCGUG
rnacentral:rRNA from 1 species